GAGAUGAGUUCUCCCUGACUCCUUGAGAGUCCUGAAGGAACGUUGAAGACGACGACGUUGAUAGGCCGGGUGUGUAAGCGCAGCGAUGCGUUGAGCUAACCGGUACUAAUGAACCGUGAGGCUUAACCUUACAACGCCGAAG
rnacentral:rRNA from 1 species